GAUGAAGAACGUAGCGAAAUGCGAUAAGUAGUGUGAAUUGCAGAAUUCAGUGAAUCAUCGAAUCUUUGAACGCACAUUGCGCCCCUUGGUAUCCCGAGGGGCAUGCCUGUUCGAGCGUCAUUGCUGCCCUCAAGCACGGCUUGUGUGUUGGGCUUCCGUCCCUGGCAACGGGGACGGGCCCAAAAGGCAGUGGCGGCACCAUGUCUGGUCCUCGAGCGUAUGGGGCUUUGUCACCCGCUCCCGUAGGUCCAGCUGGCAGCUAGCCUCGCAACCAAUCUUUUUAACCAGGUUGACCUCGGAUCAGGUAGGGAUACCCGCUGAACUUAAGCAUAUCAAUAAGCGGAGGA
rnacentral:misc_RNA from 1 species